CCUACUGGGGGCAGCAGUGGGGAAUAUUGCACAAUGGGGGAAACCCUGAUGCAGCGACGCCGCGUGAGUGAAGAAGUAUCUCGGUAUGUAAAGCUCUAUCAGCAGGGAAGAAAAUGACGGUACCUGACUAAGAAGCCCCGGCUAACUACGUGCCAGCAGCCGCGGUAAUACGUAGGGGGCAAGCGUUAUCCGGAUUUACUGGGUGUAAAGGGAGCGUAGACGGCGCUGCAAGUCCGGAGUGAAAGCCCAUGGCUUAACCAUGGUACUGCUCUGGAAACUGUGGAGCUUGAGUGCGGGAGGGGCAGGCGGAAUUCCUAGUGUAGCGGUGAAAUGCGUAGAUAUUAGGAGGAACCCCGAUUGCGAAGGCAGCUUACUAAACUGUGACUGACAUUGAUGCUCGAAAGUGUGGGUAUCAAACAGGAUUAGAUACCCUGGUAGUC
rnacentral:rRNA from 1 species